AAAAAAAAAAAUAAUUAAAAACCAAUUGUUCAAAGAACAAUUGAAGGUCUUUCAACCAAUAAGGAUCUAUUUAGAUAUGAAAAUAUUAAAAUUCAGUUGAAAAUGUCAGUUCGUAUGGCUUAAUGAUGUAUAAAUAUGAAUUUUAAGCAAAGGUCAAAAUCUAGAACGUCCAAUUAACCUAUGACCUUGACCUCAAUUUCAAGGUCAUAGACUAAACAUCUCAAAUAAAAAGACACUAGUUCCUUAAUAUGUAUGGUUCAUGAGUAAAAUCACUUUACGCAUAAUUCUUAAUAUAAGAGGGGCGAAAACUCCCUUUUAUUGUUUACGCACCCUCGCAACCAAAAUUUAUAAGUUACGACAUGUCGCAACUAACAAUUUAGUAAAAAAAAAUUGUCGAUAUCUUAUAAGUUAAUGAAAAUAAGUGAAAAUAAGCCAAAAUCAAAAUUUAGAAUUUGACCUUGACCUUUGACCUUGACCUAAUUUUCAUUUUUUUGGACCAAGGAUCUUAAAUCUAAAGACCCUAGGUCUCUAUCACUUAUGGUUUACCAGUUAGAUAUGCAUAUCACUUAUAUCAUAUAAAAAGGGGGGAUAACUCUCAUAUGGAGUCUCCGUAUAGCUUCGGUCAAAAUAAAACAGAUCAUCCUGAGGACUGAACGAGCAAUUUGGAAAAAUAAAUUUGUCGGUUUUUUAUACGGUUGCAAAGCCUUAGAGGACACAAGAAAAACAGUGUUUGGGGAGAUAACUCUUACAAGGUGAAAUUUUUUGUUACGCGGUGUCAGUUUCAGAAGCGUAUUAACUGUUCGAUAUCAUAUACCAUAUAUCUAAGCGACAUCUUGUGAAACAAAAAAACAGCGAAGGAAAAAAAAGUUGGCGGAAGAAAAAAAAAAAAAAUAAUAAUAAUAAUAAUAAUAAUCAGAACGAAUUCAAUAGGUCUUUCAACAGAAAGGUUGAAAGACCUAAUAAUAAUAAUAAUAAAAUUAAUAAUAAUCAGAACAAAUACAAUAGGUCUUUCAACAGAAAGGUUGAAAGACCUAAUUAU
rnacentral:lncRNA from 1 species